rnacentral:tRNA from 1 species
CGGGGUGUGGCGCAGUCCGGUUAGCGCACCUGUUUUGGGUACAGGGGGUCGGAAGUUCGAAUCUUCUCACCCCGACCA